CAGUGUUACAGCUCUUUUAGAAUUUGUCUACUAGCAGGUCUUCCAGUUUUUGCUGGGAAGCUCCC
rnacentral:snRNA from 1 species